rnacentral:rRNA from 1 species
ACUCCUACGGGAGGCAGCAGUGGGGAAUAUUGCACAAUGGGGGAAACCCUGAUGCAGCCAUGCCGCGUGUGUGAAGAAGGCCUUCGGGUUGUAAAGCACUUUCAGUAGGGAGGAAGGUAGUGUAGUUAACACCUGCAUUAUUUGACGUUACCUACAGAGAAGCACCGGCUAACUCCGUGCCAGCAGCCGCGGUAAUACGGAGGGUGCGAGCGUUAAUCGGAAUUACGUGGGCGUAAAGCGCAUGCAGGCGGCCUGUUAAGUCAGAUGUGAAAGCCCGGGGUCUUAACCUCGGAAUUGCAUUUGAAACUGGCAGGCUAGAGUCUUGUAGAGGGGUUAGAAUUUCAGGUGUAGCGGUGAAAUGCGUAGAGAUCUGAAGGAAUACCAGUGGCGAAGGCGGCCCCUGGACAAAGACUGACGCUCAGAUGCGAAAGCGUGGGAGCAAACAGGAUUAGAUACCCCGUGGUAGACUGUCA